AAUUUUCCUAAAUUUAAACUGAGAGAUGUAUAAAACAAAAUAAAAUGAAAUUUUUAAUGCAUACUAUUAUGUUUAAUCAUUUUAAGGUUGACACUCUGAAUGUCCACCAAUUUACAUACUUCUUGCAGAAUUACAGGUUGCAGUAAGAUAGAUAAGGUUGGAUCUGGAAUCCAUUUGUAUUUUAGUCCAGGCGCACAUCCACAAUAGCCGUUCAUUUUAGCAAUUCUGCUAUAAAAACUGUCUUAAAUAAACUUUGUCUUUGCAAUUGAGGUCCAUACACAAUAUGUUCGUACUUAAAGUAGGUUACAACUUCAUAUAAUAAAAUAUCAAACGGGGAAUGCAAUAUUUGACAUACAGAUACAUGUAACACAAAUAAUCCAACACUUUUGACUGCA
rnacentral:lncRNA from 1 species